UACGUAGGGUGCGAGCGUUGUCCGGAAUUUAUUGGGCGUAAAGGGCUCGUAGGCGGUCUGUUACGUUCGGGAGUGAAAACUCAGGGCUCAACCCUGAGCCUGCUUCCGAUACGGGCAGACUAGAGGUAUGCAGGGGAGAAUGGAAUUCCUGGUGUAGCGGUGAAAUGCGCAGAUAUCAGGAGGAACACCGGUGGCGAAGGCGGCUCUCUGGAACGCAACUGACGCUGAGACGCGAAAGCGUGGGGAGCAAACAGG
rnacentral:rRNA from 1 species